AGAAUCAACGCUGGCGGCGUGCCUAACACAUGCAAGUCGAACGAGAAAGUGGAGCAAUCCAUGAGUAAAGUGGCGCACGGGUGAGUAACACGUGACUAACCUACCCUGGAGUGGGGGAUAACUGAGGGAAACCUUAGCUAAUACCGCAUAAUACCUACGGGUCAAAGGAGCAAUUCGCUUCAGGAGGGGGUCGCGGCCGAUUAGUUAGUUGGCGGGGUAAUGGCCCACCAAGACAGUGAUCGGUAUCCGGCCUGAGAGGGCGCACGGACACACUGGAACUGAAACACGGUCCAGACUCCUACGGGAGGCAGCAGUGGGGAAUUUUGCGCAAUGGGGGAAACCCUGACGCAGCAACGCCGCGUGGAGGAUGAAGUCCUUCGGGACGUAAACUCCUUUCGAUCGGGACGAUUAUGACGGUACCGGAAGAAGAAGCCCCGGCUAACUUCGCGCCAGCAGCCGC
rnacentral:rRNA from 1 species